UGGGGAAUUUUGGACAAUGGGGGCAACCCUGAUCCAGCCAUGCCGCGUGCGGGAAGAAGGCCUUCGGGUUGUAAACCGCUUUUGGUCGGAAAGAAAGGCUCUGGGCUAAUACCCUGGGGUUUUGACGGUACCGGCAGAAUAAGCACCGGCUAACUACGUGCCAGCAGCCGCGGUAAUACGUAGGGUGCGAGCGUUAAUCGGAAUUACUGGGCGUAAAGCGUGCGCAGGCGGUUUGUUAAGUCCGCUGUGAAAUCCCCGGGCUCAACCUGGGAAUGGCGGUGGAAACUGGCGAGCUAGAGUGUGUCAGAGGGGGUGGAAUUCCACGUGUAGCAGUGAAAUGCGUAGAGAUGUGGAGGAACACCAAUGGCGAAGGCAGCCCCCUGGGAUAACACUGACGCUCAGGCACGAAAGCGUGGGGAGCAAACAG
rnacentral:rRNA from 1 species